rnacentral:rRNA from 1 species
AUUGAACGCUGGCGGCAUGCUUUGCACAUGCAAGUCGAACGGCAGCGCGGGCUUCGGCCUGGCGGCGAGUGGCGAACGGGUGAGUAAUACAUCGGAACGUGCCCAGUAGUGGGGGAUAGCUCGGCGAAAGCCGGAUUAAUACCGCAUACGACCUGAGGGUGAAAGCGGGGGAUCUUCGGACCUCGCGCUAUUGGAGCGGCCGAUGGCAGAUUAGCUAGUUGGUGGGGUAAAGGCCUACCAAGGCGACGAUCUGUAGCUGGUCUGAGAGGACGACCAGCCACACUGGGACUGAGACACGGCCCAGACUCCUACGGGAGGCAGCAGUGGGGAAUGUUGGACAAUGGGCGAAAGCCUGAUCCAGCAAUGCCGCGUGUGUGAUGAAGGCCUUCGGGUUGUAAAGCACUUUUGGCGGGAACGAAAAGGACUGUGCCAAUACCACGGUUCGAUGACGGUACCCGCAGAAUAAGCACCGGCUAACUACGUG